CCUCUCGUAGCUUAGCGGUUAGGGCACUGGUGCGUAAAACCAAAGGUACGGGGUUCGAUUCCCGGCGAGAAUG
rnacentral:tRNA from 1 species